GAGUGGACUCCUACGGGAGGCAGCAGUGGGGAAUAUUGCGCAAUGGGGGCAACCCUGACGCAGCCAUGCCGCGUGAAUGAAGAAGGCCUUCGGGUUGUAAAGUUCUUUCGGUAGCGAGGAAGGCACUUAGUUUAAUAGACUAGGUGAUUGACGUUAACUACAGAAGAAGCACCGGCUAACUCCGUGCCAGCAGCCGCGGUAAUACGGAGGGUGCGAGCGUUAAUCGGAAUAACUGGGCGUAAAGGGCACGCAGGCGGACUUUUAAGUGAGGUGUGAAAGCCCCGGGCUUAACCUGGGAAUUGCAUUUCAGACUGGGAGUCUAGAGUACUUUAGGGAGGGGUAGAAUUCCACGUGUAGCGGUGAAAUGCGUAGAGAUGUGGAGGAAUACCGAAGGCGAAGGCAGCCCCUUGGGAAUGUACUGACGCUCAUGUGCGAAAGCGUGGGGAGCAAACAGGAUUAGAUACCCUUGUAGUCCGA
rnacentral:rRNA from 1 species